rnacentral:tRNA from 1 species
UCCCUAGUGGCUCAGAUGGUAAAGCGUCUGCCUGCAAUGCAGGAGACCCAGGUUCGAUUCCUGGGUCGGGAA